rnacentral:lncRNA from 1 species
AGCUGUUUAGGACCGAAAAUCAAUAAGGUCAACAUCAUGAACUUCCGUUUCAUGCAUAGCCAUGGUGGGAGAUUAUAUGUAACUAAGAUAACUGGCCAACAACGGUAUCUGCUACUUAAAGAACUGUCGGGAUUGAAUCUAUCAGAUGAGAGAGCCAAUCUCAAGUUCCUCGGCUCUUUACCAAACUCGGGCCAUUUAUCAUCAACAAGUUUCCAAGACUGGGAAUCCGCUGGAUGAGACAUAUGACCGUCAACUGAUUUUCUAGCAGCAUGCCAAGUCAAACUCUUAGUUGUCUUAUGUGAUUGAAACAUCCUUUUAAACCUUGGAAUUAGAGGAAAAUACCACACCACCUUAGCUGGCACACCCUCUUUCAAGAUUGCAUCUUUG